UGCUUGGGCGGCCGCUAGGAGGCGUCGGUCUUUCCGUCUGCCAAUGGAGCCGGAACGGGACGAUGGCUCGGCCUCCAUACUGGCUGCCGCCCACGCGCGCUUGCAAGACGGCCAGCAUGAAGCCGCUGAACGACUCUAUUCGGAGUACAUCUGCCAAGGCGCCAACAAUGACGGUGUCGCCCCCGGCCCUCGAGGAGUCCACGGAAAGCGCAAUGCACCCCUGAGGAUUUGUCUAUUGCUUUUAACAACAGGGGGCAAAUCAAAUAUUUCAAGGUCGAUUUUGAUGAAGCAUUGAUGACUACUCAUCUGCCAUAGAAGCCCAACCCAGCUUUGAGGUCCCAUAUUAUAACAGAGGAUUGAUCUUUUAUAGACUGGGACAGUUUGAUGAAGCUCUGAGAGAUUUCAGAAAAGUAUUAGAUCUCAACCCUGGAUUUCAAGAUGCUACCGUGAGUUUAAAACAGACUAUUCUAGACAAAGAAGCAAAACAAAGACGAAGCUAUUGAAAGUUUUCAAUUCAACUGAAUUCUUUACCGUUUCCUUCAUCUGAUUUCAUUUUUUUAAAUCAAAAGUCUGAAAAUGUGUAUGCACAGUAUGAUUGUGAAAAUUAUUAGAAUAAUUAUCAAUUUGGAAAAAAGUUAUUGCUUUAGUUACUUAUUUUUUUUUAAUGUGUUAUCAAAUAAUUGAAAUUAAAGUUCUAAUUAAAAUGUAUGGUGCUUUCUCUAACAAAUUAGCCUGAGUUAAUAAAUUAACACAUAUUUUGAAA